rnacentral:rRNA from 1 species
UACGUAGGGUGCGAGCGUUGUCCGGAAUUAUUGGGCGUAAAGAGCUCGUAGGCGGCUUGUUGCGUCGACCGUGAAAACCCGCGGCUUAACUGCGGGCUUGCGGUCGAUACGGGCGGGCUGGAGUUCGGUAGGGGAGACUGGAAUUCCUGGUGUAGCGGUGAAAUGCGCAGAUAUCAGGAGGAACACCGGUGGCGAAGGCGGGUCUCUGGGCCGAUACUGACGCUGAGGAGCGAAAGCGUGGGGAGCGAACAGG